AAUGCCCCGAGAGCUCCUUAAAUGUACAACGUCCUCUUGUCCAGUUUGUUUGUAACUCCCGACUUUCUUUGUAUAUCGUCUUCCAGUGUUUACUAUUUGUAAGAGGAACGCCGACCUGAUCGAUUUUUGGUUUAUUACUUACAAUAUAAGAAAUUUCACAAGAAUUUGGACUGAAUUUAGAAACCAUCAACAUCAUUUCAUCCAUCUGUAUCCAUCAUUUACCAUCCUGAUGGUAUAAAUAUGUUUUGCAUCUAAAUUAUAUUACAUGCUACUUGAAUACCUGACUUGCUAGACCCAGUUCCUCAACAGUAAGAUGAGAGAGAAUCUGACGAGAUAAAUGACGUGGAAGGAGCGAGAUGAAGUCUUUGUACUGCCUUACCUGAAAAGAAACAUACCUUUUUUUUUCUUGAAUUGCUUAAUCAAUAGAUAAAAGCCAUCAUGCUUACAGUCAUCAAUCCUGAGAUGUAGAUAAGCUCGACUGGCUCCAAAACUUCAAGAAAUAUGCGGAGAAACUCGUUUUUUUCCCACACUUAGAGAAAAAAGAUGAAAUUACCUGACUUAUUGUUUAAAUUAACCUAUUUUCCUAUCAGUAAAACUGACUGAAUCACCAUUGCGUGAUUGCAAAGAUAACUACUAUUCUUCUAUAUUGAAUAAGUUUCUACAAAUGAACUUUUUCCUCUUUGUAAUUAAAAAUUUAACUUUUUAGCUUGAUAACAUCUGUAAAUUUAAAAAAUUUUCGAACAUAAUGUAUUUAAAGUGUUUUCAUAGAGUAUAAUAUCAAACGUUAAUAUCAAAAGAACAGUUUUUGUUUUGUAAUCAAGUUAUUUCGGGGAAUUGACGAAGUAAUAAAAGAAAAUGAAUCAAAA